ACANAUNCAAGUCGAGCNGUAAGGCCCUUCGGGGUACACGAGCGGCGAACGGGUGAGUAACACGUGGGUGACCUGCCCUCCACUCUGGGAUAAGCCUGGGAAACUGGGUCUAAUACCGGAUAUGACCUUCUUCCGCAUGGGAGUUGGUGGAAAGUUUUUCGGUGGGGGAUGGGCCCGCGGCCUAUCAGCUUGUUGGUGGGGUGAUGGCCUACCAAGGCGACGACGGGUAGCCGGCCUGAGAGGGCGACCGGCCACACUGNGACUGAGACACGNNCCAGAC
rnacentral:rRNA from 1 species